rnacentral:rRNA from 1 species
UUGAACGCUGGCGGCAGGCCUCACACAUGCAAGUCGAACGGUAACAGGAAGCAGCUUGCUGCUUUGCUGACGAGUGGCGGACGGGUGAGUAAUGUCUGGGAAACUGCCUGAUGGAGGGGGAUAACUACUGGAAACGGUAGCUAAUACCGCAUAACGUCGCAAGACCAAAGAGGGGGACCUUCGGGCCUCUUGCCAUCGGAUGUGCCCAGAUGGGAUUAGCUAGUAGGUGGGGUAACGGCUCACCUAGGCGACGAUCCCUAGCUGGUCUGAGAGGAUGACCAGCCACACUGGAACUGAGACACGGUCCAGACUCCUACGGGAGGCAGCAGUGGGGAAUAUUGCACAAUGGGCGCAAGCCUGAUGCAGCCAUGCCGCGUGUAUGAAGAAGGCCUUCGGGUUGUAAAGUACUUUCAGCGGGGAGGAAGGGAGUAAAGUUAAUACCUUUGCUCAUUGACGUUACCCGCAGAAGAAGCACCGGCUAACUCCGUG